CAACCUGCCGUCUACUCUUGGACAGCCUUCUGAAAGGAAGAUUAAUACAAGAUGGCAUCAUGAGUCCGCAUGUUCACAUGAUUAAAGGUAUUCCGGUAGACGAUGGGGAUGCGUUCCAUUAGAUAGUAGGCGGGGUAACGGCCCACCUAGUCUUCGAUGGAUAGGGGUUCUGAGAGGAAGGUCCCCCACAUUGGAACCGAGACACGGUCCAAACUCCUACGGGAGGCAGCAGUGAGGAAUAUUGGUCAAUGGGCGAGAGCCUGAACCAGCCAAGUAGCGUGAAGGAUGACUGCCCUAUGGGUUGUAAACUUCUUUUAUAAAGGAAUAAAGUCGGGUAUGGAUACCCGUUUGCAUGUACUUUAUGAAUAAGGAUCGGCUAACUCCGUGCCAGCAGCCGCGGUAAUACGGAGGAUCCGAGCGUUAUCCGGAUUUAUUGGGUUUAAAGGGAGCGUAGAUGGAUGUUUAAGUCAGUUGUGAAAGUUUGCGGCUCAACCGUAAAAUUGCAGUUGAUACUGGAUAUCUUGAGUGCAGUUGAGGCAGGCGGAAUUCGUGGUGUAGCGGUGAAAUGCUUAGAUAUCACGAAGAACUCCGAUUG
rnacentral:rRNA from 1 species